UACGUAGGGUGCAAGCGUUAAUCGGAAUUACUGGGCGUAAAGCGCACGUAGGCGGCUUUGUAAGUUAGAGGUGAAAGCCCGGAGCUCAACUCCGGAAUUGCCUUUAAGACUGCAUCGCUUGAAUCAUGGAGAGGUGAGUGGAAUUCCGAGUGUAGAGGUGAAAUUCGUAGAUAUUCGGAAGAACACCAGUGGCGAAGGCGACUCACUGGACAUGUAUUGACGCUGAGGUGCGAAAGCGUGGGGAGCAAACAGG
rnacentral:rRNA from 1 species